CUACGGGAUGUAGCAGUGAGGAAUAUUGCACAAUGGGGGGAACCCUGAUGCAGCAACGCCGCGUGGAGGAUGACGCAUUUCGGUGUGUAAACUCCUUUUAUAUGUCAAGAAAAUGACGGUAGCAUAUGAAUAAGCACCGGCUAACUCCGUGCCGGCAGCCGCGGUAAUACGGAGGGUGCAAGCGUUACUCGGAAUCACUGGGCGUAAAGGACGCGUAGGCGGGUUGGAAAGUCAGGUGUGAAAUCCUACAGCUUAACUGUAGAACUGCACUUGAAACUUCUAAUCUAGAGUAUGGGAGGGGGAGAUGGAAUUAGUGGUGUAGGGGUAAAAUCCGUAGAUAUCACUAGGAAUACCUAAAGCGAAGGCGAUCUCCUGGAACAUUACUGACGCUAAGGCGUGAAAGCGUGGGGAGCAGACAGGAUUAGAUACCCUUGUAGUC
rnacentral:rRNA from 1 species